AGCGAAAUGUGAUAAGUGGUGUGAAUUGCAGAAUCCCGUGAACCAUCGAGUCUUUGAACGCAAGUUGCGCCCGAUGCCAUCAGGCUAAGGGCACGCCUGCCUGGGCGUCGUGUGCUGCGUCUCUCCUGUCAAUGCUUUCCUGUCAUAUCGAUAGGUUUGCAUUGUGU
rnacentral:rRNA from 1 species